rnacentral:rRNA from 1 species
UACGUAGGGUGCAAGCGUUAUCCGGAAUUAUUGGGCGUAAAGAGCUCGUAGGCGGUUUGUCGCGUCUGCUGUGAAAACCCGAGGCUCAACCUCGGGCCUGCAGUGGGUACGGGCAGACUAGAGUGCGGUAGGGGAGAAUGGAAUUCCUGGUGUAGCGGUGGAAUGCGCAGAUAUCGGGAGGAACACCGGUGGCGAAGGCGGUUCUCUGGGCCUUACCUGACGCUGAGGAGCGAAAGCGUGGGGAGCGAACAGG